GCCCACUUGUCCCGCGUGAGUGCCAGGCUUGGUACCUAAUUCAGAUGCUUGGGGCAUAAAUGCCUCUUUGAAGUGUUGAGGCCAAGGGUCAGGAGACCUCCUCCCCCUUCUCUGACUGUGAAGAUGCCUGCUCUCCUGAGAAGUAGCUGCUUGGAAGUGAGAUGGAAAGCAGGAGGGGGAGAAGAUGAAGUCUUCAGACACAGCUAUGAUGCUCAAUGGUUGCUACCUGUGAGUCACGGGUGGCUUCACAGAGGUGGUGACAUUUGAGGUCAACAGCACACUCUUACUCCUUGCUUUGCCUUCCGAGCGCCCCAGAACAUUCUGCCUAGGCUGGAGUUCUAUCAAGACACCAGCUGCUACAGAGGAAGAAGUGGCCCUGGGGAGGGGCCAAGCGGGAGGAGAGAAAGUGUGACUGCCAGGCGGAGACUCUGGAGAUAAAACACGUGAUGGAUCCGUGAAGAGCCUGAUGGGGGAAUGUUGGCUGCCCCCAGGAGCCCACGCUGGAAAAGGAUAAUUUGGAAUGCCCCCAGCAUUUUGGAUCCGCAGGUUGCGUUGGAGAAGAGGUACCCGGCACACGGCAAAGUUGUGAUUUAUCUCGGCAAUUUCGUUUGGAUGCAUUUUGCGGCUCUGUCGGCAGAUGGGACAAGCGGAUUUCCUGAGGGCAGAAGGAGCAGACAGAGAUCACAAGCAGGCAGAGAGGCAGGCAGAGAGAGAGAGAGGAGGAAGCAG